rnacentral:rRNA from 1 species
ACGGGAGGCAGCAGUGGGGAAUAUUGCACAAUGGGGGAAACCCUGAUGCAGCAAUGCCGCGUGAGUGAUGAAGUAUUUCGGUAUGUAAAACUCUAUCAGCAGGGAAGAAGAUGACGGUACCUGACUAAGAAGCACCGGCUAAAUACGUGCCAGCAGCCGCGGUAAUACGUAUGGUGCAAGCGUUAUCCGGAUUUACCGGGUGUAAAGGGAGCGCAGGCGGUCCUGCAAGCCAGAGGUGAAAACCCGGGGCUCAACCCCGUGAUUGCCUUUGGAACUGUGAGACUUGAGUGCUGGAGGGGCAGGCGGAAUUCCUGGUGUAGCGGUGAAAUGCGUAGAUAUCAGGAGGAACACCGGUGGCGAAGGCGGCCUGCUGGACAGAAACUGACGCUGAGGCUCGAAAGCGUGGGGAGCAAACAGGAUUAGAUACCCUGGUA